UUCAUCGUCAUCGCUAUCAGUGAAGAACAAAUGCUAAAUAUCUUGGGGAAGAAUAAAUGUUAGAGAUCCUUGUUUCAUUGAGCUUGAGAAAGAUAAAAUAUUGGAUGCAAUAUAUUAUUUAUGGCUUUUGCAUUCAUUUGUUUCUAAUAUAAAAUAAAACAAAAAAGGUUAGCUAAAUAAAAUACAUAUUUAAUUAUAUUAUUAUUUAAGAACACAUACCUUAA
rnacentral:lncRNA from 1 species